AACUCAAGCACUCAGAAGUCAGAGAAGGGAUCCCUGGAGCAAGCCGGCUAGUGAGACUAGCUAAAUCGAUGAGUUCUGGGUUUGAUUGAGAGACUCUGACUCAAAGAAUAAGGAGAGUUUUUGAGAGUCCCGAUUUUAACCUCUACAUACACAGGCAUAUGCAUGUAUAUAUGUAUAUCCACAUACAGGCAAACAUGAAUAAACAUAUGCACACCACAAACACAUACGUAUGAGAAAAAGAAAAAAAAGCAAAGAUUAUUAAUUCAGAAAACAAGUUAACUUCUAGGAAGAAAUCAGUUCUGAGGAAAUGAAGGGAAUUACAUAGGCACGGGUUGGUUUAUUUUUAUUUUCAUCAUUAUUUAUUUUUAUUUUAUGUGUUUGAGUGUUUUACCUGUGAAACACAAGGAGGCAAGAAGGCACUGGUUCCCCUGGAACUGGGAUUUAUAUAGAUGGUUGUGAGCUGUCUGCUGUGGAUUCUGGGAAAUGGAGGAACCCCUGUCCUUUGCUAGGGGGCAGCCCUGACAGGGUCAAGUACUGAGAUGGGACACAACUUGGGACCAAGGCCAAAGGCUGAUGACCUCUGGCAUUUAACUCUCAACGUUCUGGGGGCUAGAGCUGAGGGCUUCUGGCAAUUUCAGAGAAAAAGGAAAAGAAAGAAAGAAAGAAAGAAAGAAAGAAAGAAAGAAAGAAAGAAAGAAAGAAGGAAAGAAAGGAGGGAGGAAGGGAGGGGGGGGAGAAAGAAAGUCGCACACACCCAACUUUAUUAUUGCUUUCAGCUUCUUAUAGCUUUUUAGACAAAAAGUUCUUUAUGUAAGAAAGAAUUACCUAGUAGACAAAAUGUUACAUAAAGGGGGAGUUACAGAAAGAUGUCAAUAGUAAGUUCAAAGCAGUGUUUCAUUCUAUAAGUUCAAAGCAACAGUUUCACACGGCCUUGUUUUAAUUUAUCAUAGUGCACACCUGUGGCUUCAUCCUUGGACCUGACCUAGCAUGGAUGUUUUUCCUUGAUCACAAAUCUAUCUAUUCCAAGUCUUUUUUUUCUUCUUAGUCCAAUUUAUGAAAGUUCAUUGUAUUCCUUAUUAUGCAGCCUUAACUCACUAUUCUAUGAGAAGGGCACAUUCUAUUCUCUCUUUUUUUAAAGAUUUAUUUAUUUUAUUUAUAUGAGUACACUGUCACUCUCUUCAGAGACACCAGAAGAGGGCAUCAGAUCCCAUUAUAAAUAACUGUGAGCCACCAUGUGGUUGCUGAGAGUUGAACUCAAGACCCCUGGAAGAGCUGUCAGUGCUCUCAACCACUAAGCCAUCUCUCUAGCCCCACAUCCUAUUUUUUUUUUAAAGAUUCAUUUGUUAUUAUAAGUACACUGUCUUCAGACACACCAGAAGAAGGCAUCAGAUCUCAUUACCAAUGGUAGUGAGCCACCAUAUGGUUGCUGGGAUUUGAACUCGGGACCUUUGAAAGAAUAGUCAGUGUUCUUACCCGCUAAGCCAUCUCUCCAGUCCCCCCCCCCCACAUUCUAUUCUUGAUUCUAACUUUAUUACAUCUUUCUGACAAAACAACUAAAGCCAUCUCCUUAAACUUUCUUCCUAAAAUUAUUUUAAUCAAAUCAGGAAUUCUAUCAAGUCAUCAUUUCACCUAAACAGCAUUAAUUCAUGAAAGUUCAUCUUCAUGCUAAUCUGCAGGAAGUUUGCCCAACAGAGUGGGCCAUCACCCAGGAAGUAAUCACACCAGGCUACAGGCAGUGAGGGUCUCCUGGUGUCCACUCACACCAAGCCACAUAAAUGAGGACUAUGGCAAAGACAAGCUGAGAAAGCACAUCAGCCCCAAGAAGCAAUCCUGGGACCAAGUCUCUGGGGCUGUGCUUCACUAGAGUGCGCCCAUCAAUGCUGAGCAAGAUGGUAGGCAGGCUCCAGGGAGCUCAAUUAUCAGCUGCAACUCUUCCUGCAUGGUGUCUGCCAAUCCUCUGCAAGUGGAUCAAAUACAGCAAGUGCUCUUAAGCACUGAGCCAUCACUCUAACUGGCACGGGAAAGGAACAAAACAAACAAACAAACAAACAACUUCUUUUGGGGAAAUGAGCAGAGUUCGGUUCCCAGCACUCACAUCAGACACCUUACACUCUUUCACAACUCUAGCUCCAGGGGAUCUGUCUUAGUCAGUGCUCUAUUGCUGAGAAGAGAUACCAUAGCCAAGGCAGCUCUUAAGCAUUUAAUUGGGACUGGCUUACAGUUUAGAGGUUUAGUCCAUCCUCACGGUGGGGAGCAUGGCUGCGUGCAGGCAGGCCUGGUGCUGCAGGAGCUGGGUCAUACGGUUCACCCACUGCCUUGGAUGUGCCACAUUAGUGCAGGAUUUGAAGGAGGGAGAUUGAGUUGCCGUCCAGCUACUACACAGAGCUCUGUCCUGUAAAUCUCAAACUGUGCUACAAAUAAAACCAACAUUUUUUUUUAAACCACCCUGAUAAUUUUCUGAACCUGGGCUGUAAGUCCACUUGACAUGCAGACAUAGUGAAUUAUCUGUAAGGUUUAAAUAUGCACAGCAUUUUCCAGCAACUUGGCCAACUGUCUGCAGAGAGACAGCUGCAUUGUUUCAUUUGGAGUUUCGCCAAGCCUUGGUCUCCAUUCCAGUAUGGCACAUCCUCAGGACACAGGAUUUUUUGGGAUUUUGCUUUUUUUGUUUUUUGUUUUUUUUGUUUUUUUUUUUUUGUUUGUUUUUUUGAGACAGGGCUUCUCUGUGUAGCCCUGGCUGUCCUGGAACUCACUUUGUAGACCAGGCUGGCCUUGAACUCAGAAAUCCGCCUGCCUCUGCCUCCUGAGUGCUGGGAUUAAAGGCGUGUGCCACCACGUCCGGCAAAAUAUUAUUUAUGUAUUUAUGUAUGUGAGUGCACUGUAGCUGUCUUCAGACACACCAGAAGAGUGUGCAUCAGAGCCCAUUACAGAUGGUGUGAGCCACCAUGUGGUUGCUGGGAAUUGAACUCAGGACCUGUGCGAGAGCAGUCAGUGCUCUUAACUGCUGAGCCAUCUCUCCAGCCCACACCAGUGGCCUUUAAGAGUCUGCUUUUGGUGCCCCUGCCGUGUGUUUAAAACUGGUUUUAUAAAGAGGGGCUAAGCUUGUGACUGCUUCAUGUGUCUGAGCACUAACCAAUCACAUACUUAUUAUUUUAUUACUAAGUGUUUUCCUUUCUUGCCUCCCUUAGGAUGUCACUGUGCCAUCAAAAAUUGUCCUGCCUGGGUUCUGUUAUGCACAGCAUUUCGCCACAAAGUAGAAGCAAAAUAUUGGUUAAUUACAGAUCCCCAGUCAGGCUGAGCUGAGAAUCUGAGGUAAAAUCCAACUCCUCCCAGCCAAAGGGAUCUAUUAGUAUGUCCCAUAGUGUGCCAGCACUCUCCUGUCCCCGGUCCUGGUACAGGCCGUUCCUUCUCUGAAACGCCUCAUCCCCUUCCAUCCCAGCCCAAGACAACAGACUGCUCCCCAGACCCUCAUCUCCAUCUUCAAGAUGGUGCCAGGGCAACAUCCCACCCCCUGUCCCACUUUGACUCACUCUCCUAUCACUGUCAAGUAGGAAACAGGUCAGUAAUAGUUAUUAGAAUAAGCAUUCGAAAAAUGCAAGUGACUAACUGUGUGUAGGUAAAACUGUCGAGAGAUGCUCAAGGCAGAGGGGAUGAAGAGGCCUUGAAAACCUGUUAGAACUGAACUCAAGACUGUCCCUCUUGGCAUAAUGGAAGUCUGGAAAGAAAACUUAAAGAGUAACUGUCUUUCCCAGUGUAAUCCAUUGCUGUCUUUUCCCUAACGUCACCAGCUAGGGUUAGAUGCAGCCCAGGGGUAAGAGUGUUUGCCUCGCAUGCACAGGGCUCUGAGUUCAGUUCCCAGUACCACACAGUCAUCUGCAGUCCACCAUGAUCUAAGGAACCACCUUCGAUGAGCCAAGCCUGGUGGCUAGAUUCCGGGAACAGGACAGAACAGGGAUAGUAACAGCAUGGUCUGGCUGAUACAUAGGAAAAACAUUCUAAAAAACUAUAUUCUUUAGAAGACACACAUUUAUAUAACCUUGUAUAUAUAUACUUUUAUAUAUUCAUAUUUAUUUGUAUUUAUUACUUAGAAGCACGUGUGCCACUGUGCUUGUGUGGAGGUUAGGGAACAAUUUGCUGGAGUCGCUUCAGUUUUUCUAACAUAUGGGUCCUGGGCGUGGCCUCGGGGCAUCAGGCUUGGCAGCAAACGCUCUCACCAGUCCACAUAAAUAUAUUUCUUUUUCUUUUUUUUUUUUUUUUUUUCGUUUUUUUGAGACAGGGUUUCUCUGUAUAGUCCUGAAUAUAUCCUGGAACUCACUCUGUGGACCAGACUGGCCUCGGACUCAGAAAUCCGCCUGCCUCUGCCUCCCAAAUGCUGGGAUUAAAGGCGUGCGCCACCACGCCUAGUGAAAAUUAGGUUUUUAAGCACUCCUGAGGGUGGCAGUGGCGACUACAGGGGAGGGGGCCGAACGUCACCUGGGCCACGAUUCCCUCCAGAGCCUUUGUUCAAUCCUCCUUGUUGGACCCAGGUACCGUAGGAGGGCCUAUCUGUCCGUCUUCCACAUAUGUUGGGGAUUUUCGUUUGCAAAAGUGCCUCGACCUCUGGGGGAACUCCCUCGGAGCACCGCGCUGGGACCUUCUGCGACAAUUGAUGACACUGGCUUCUUCCUUCUGGUCGGACUUACUUCCUAAUCUGCUUAGAGCUUAGAGGGCUCCAAACCUUAGAACACGCCAAGAGGAAGAACCUCCCAGCUAGAUCGACUGUGCCCAACAACCACCGGACCCCUUCCCUCCUGCGCAGUCCUUAUCCCUUCCCCAGAGAUUCCGGACCCGUGCCUAAGGAGAAGACGGGUGCGAGGCGAAGGGACGGCGGUGAGACACAGCUUCAGGCGCGGAAGCAAGCUAGAAGGCGGAACCUAAUACCCUAAAGGCACAGCCACCAGCGAGGCGGAGUCUGGAGAGCGGGCGUCCGGGGGAGGGGAGCAAUGGCUCUUUGUUCCCGCCCUGGAGGCGGAGCCGAGGUCCGAGCCUGCAAAACGUGGUCCGCAGUGUAACCCAACCCCGACCCUCCGCUACGGCGCUCCGACCUUGGGAUUCCUGGACACCGACCAGCGUCGCUCUCCUUCGGCCUCCCAGCCCUGCGUAGGCGCAGGUGCAGCCGCCUUCUGUGGGCCUGGUGCAAUAGGACUGCGGCAACCAUGGCGCGGGGAAACGCCCCUCGGGACAGCUACCACCUGGUUGGGAUCAGCUUCUUCAUUCUGGGACUGGGCACCCUUCUCCCCUGGAACUUCUUCAUUACCGCCAUCCCGUACUUCCAGGGGCGGUUAGCAGGGACCAACAGCAGUGCUGAGACCAUGGGCACCAACCACACCAGUCCCACAGACACUUUCAACUUCAACAACUGGGUGACACUGCUGUCCCAGCUGCCUCUACUGCUCUUCACGCUCCUCAACUCCUUCCUGUAUCAGUGCAUCCCCGAGUCGGUGCGGAUUCUGGGCAGCCUGCUGGCCAUACUACUGCUCUUUGCCCUGACAGCAGCGUUGGUGAAGGUGGACUUGAGCCCUGGGCUGUUCUUCUCUGUCACCAUGGCGUCCGUCUGGUUCAUCAAUUCCUUCUGUGCCGUGCUUCAAGGCAGCCUCUUUGGGCAGCUGGGUACCAUGCCUUCUACCUACAGCACCCUCUUCCUCAGUGGCCAGGGCCUGGCUGGGAUCUUCGCUGCCCUUGCUAUGCUCAUGUCCUUGGCCAGUGGCGUGGAUGCCCAGACCUCUGCUCUUGGAUACUUCAUCACACCCUGUGUGGGCAUCCUCCUCUCCAUCGUAUGUUACCUCAGCCUGCCUCAUCUGAAGUUUGCCCGUUACUACCUGACCGAGAAGCUGUCUCAGGCUCCAACUCAGGAGCUGGAGACUAAAGCUGAGCUCCUCCAAGCUGAUGAGAAGAAUGGGGUUCCCAUCAGCCCCCAACAGGCCAGCCCAACUCUGGAUCUUGACCCUGAGAAGGAGCCAGAGCCGGAGGAGCCACAGAAGCCAGGAAAACCUUCAGUCUUUGUUGUCUUCCGGAAGUCACCCUGUCGGUCUUUCCUGCCAUCACAGCCAUGGUGACCACCAGCUCCAAUAGCCCCGGGAAGUGGGGUCUGUUCUUCAACCCUAUCUGUUGCUUUCUGCUCUUCAACGUCAUGGAUUGGCUGGGCCGGAGCCUGACCUCCUACUUCCUGUGGCCAGAUGAGGACAGUCAGCAGCUGCUGCCCCUGCUGGUGUGCCUGCGCUUCCUGUUUGUCCCACUCUUCAUGCUGUGCCACGUGCCCCAGCACGCCCGGCUGCCCAUCAUCUUCAGGCAGGAUGCCUACUUCAUCACCUUCAUGCUGCUCUUCGCUGUUUCCAACGGCUACUUGGUGUCUCUCACCAUGUGCCUGGCACCCAGGCAGGUGUUGCCACAUGAGAGGGAGGUAGCCGGAGCCCUCAUGACCUUCUUCCUGGCCCUGGGACUCUCCUGCGGAGCCUCCCUCUCCUUCCUCUUCAAGGCUUUACUCUGAGGACCACCAGUGCUCCACACAGUCCUCCCCUCAGUGCAGCUUCUGGAGUUGGGACGUUCACAGGGAAGGACCUCCAAUAUACCUGGUCUCUUGGUCUGUGGGUUCGUGGCUGGUAGCCACGUUGCAUAUGGUGAGGAAGAAUCCACCACUGGUCACUCUGCCUCUCAGCUAGGAGUAACACGGGACACAGAAACCUGGAGCUCACAGAGAUGCACAAAAGGGCAAGUUGGAAGGCAGCUAUGGGGGAAGCAGGCGCAGGGCCCUUCACUGCCCUCCUGACUACAUUUCUUCAUCAGUCCAUCCACUGACCCCAGGGAGCAAAGCCAGCUGUAGGUCUUGCUUAGGACACCCUGACGGUCUCUACCUCGGCUCAGAGUGGGACCUGGGACCAGCUCCAGAGCGUCAGCGUCCCCUUCUCACCCACAGGCCCUGACAGGGCAUGAAGUGUCAUGGAAACUGAGGGGAAGAGAAAGCUCAAAGGACCUCUGAGCCUCCAACAGGGUUUUCUCGAAGCCAACACCCCUAGAAUCCAGAUGGGCCUGUCUGACAGAAAGGCAGUUGGCCUGCAUGUGUUGUGCACUGCACUUUACAGUUUGCAAAGUUUUUCCAGAAGCCUCUGUGAGGCCUUUGGAACAAGCUGGGCAGGGAUCAUCCCCAGGUGGGAUUCGACUGUCUAUGGAAGAGUAAGGCGAUGGCCUUCAUCGCCUUCCUUGUAGGUGCUGCCCCUGUCCCGCCACUUGCUUCUUUUCCUCAAAGUUCUCCAGGCAGGUGCCCUCGGCACUUGCUACUGUGUUUUUGCCCCAUUUCUCCUCCGACCCUGCUCCUGCAUCCAAUUAAAACUGUUCAUUUCUACGACGGA